rnacentral:rRNA from 1 species
GACAGAGGUGCCAAGCGUUAGGCGGAAUCACUGGGCUUAAAGCGUGUGUGGGCGGAUGCCUAAGUACCUUGUGAAAUCCCACGGCUCAACCGUGGAACUGCUGGGUAUACUGGGUGUCUUGGGCCAACUAGGGGUCGCUGGAACAAAUGGUGGAGCGGUGAAAUGCGUAGAUAUCAUUUGGAACGCCAAGGGCGAAAGCAAGCGACUGGGGUUGUGCCGACGCUGAGACACGAAAGCCAGGGGAGCGAACGGG